AGAUGGCGACCGGCGCACGGGUGAGUGACACGUAUCCAACCUGCCGAUAACUCGGGGAUAGCCUUUCGAAAGAAAGAUUAAUACCCGAUGGUAUAAUCAGACCGCAUGGUUUGAUUAUUAAAGAAUUUCGGUUAUCGAUGGGGAUGCGUUCCAUUAGGCAGUUGGUGAGGUAACGGCUCACCAAACCUUCGAUGGAUAGGGGUUCUGAGAGGAAGGUCCCCCACAUUGGAACUGAGACACGGUCCAA
rnacentral:rRNA from 1 species